ensembl:lncRNA
CUCACCUCACGGUCCGCCCCACUUGAGCUGGACCCCAUGGCUUCUCUGCCUCCCCCUUGCUGUUGUUUUCUCACCCUGCUUGGACGUAGUAAAUGGAACUGUGCCUGUUCUCUGUCUCUUCGCUGUGCUUCUGGGUUCCAGUACGCAACUUCCCUUUUGACUCGUUGCCCCACGGCUGCUUCCUCGCCGUUACAUUUUAGCAUCGUGGAGCUGAAGAAAGCUCGCAGGUCACACAUUCACAUGGCAGCCGCACGAUAUCCGCAGGAAGCCGCUUCGAUGAACCCGUCCGGGGAGCGGGCAACUCGUCCCAAAGCUGGCUGAUGCAUCAAGACCCUGAAUGCUAAAGAAGGAGGCCUUAUUCCGGACGUCCCUUCCUUCAGACGUUGCCGACGCAUCGGCCAUCGGCCUCCGUCCAGAGCAGAACAUCACAGAUGAUGUCAUACUCCAUGGGGGAUUCGGGGCUGAGGUUUUGGUGGAGCGUGGAUGUGUGUCUGUGUCGACCUCCGGUUGCGUUCUUCUUUGGUUUGACAGACGAGGCCUCACGGACACUUUCGCGCCGUUUGCUCCACUGGAGAGGAGCUGUGGUGUGUGAUGGGUUUACUGAGCAACUAGACCACAGCGGUGUGUGUUUUCAGGCCUGGCACCUGUUGCACCUUCCACGGUGCAGGAAAUCACAGCCGGACAGUCUGUUAUUUUGAAAAUGAUUUUUAUUGGGAGAACUACAAAAUAAAUGUACAGCACAAAGUUAACAGUAUCACACUUGAUUUGUAGUGAACUGACUCCCCGAAAAAUAAAAUUACAAAAAGAAAUUACAACUUGUCUUUAUCCGUUGUUACAUUCAAAAAGCUUUACUUCUGAUAAAGUAGUCAAAAGUACAUAGUGCGCUUUCCCCCUGUACCUACUAUGUACAAAACCAACCUUGCUCAUCCACUUCCCUCUCCAGCAAACUCCAGACUCAACUAGAUUUCAAUAGAAGAAAGAACAUAAGAGCCAAAAGGAAAUCAAAUAAGAGGAAUGGGGAUUUAGAGAGAUUACGGUUGUUUUUGUCAGGGUCUGAGUGGUAACAACCUUUAUAAAAAGUUUGAGUCCAACACUACAUUCAGUUCAACCGGUGUAUAGAAGAUGCCAUUUAGGAAAAAUACUUUAUUUGGUUAAUUUUAAGGCAUGUCAAGAUGGUGACCCCAUAUAGGCACUACACAAUAAUACUGGGGCACGAGGGAUUGCUACAUUCUUUAGCACGUGGCUGGAAUCACAGUGUGACCUCAUGCGAACAGAAAACGGAAAAAAAUUGAAAUACUUUUUGGUUAAUUUAUUGACUUGGGUUCUGUCACUGAAGUAUGAUCUAGAUCGACAAAAAUAAGUAAGGUUUGGACGGUCUGUACAACCACAUUGUUUAUACAUUCUACGGAAACGUCUAAAUAAGGAUCCUCCAAAAAAACAAAAAAAGUCAUCUACAGCACUGACACACAACCUUGGGAGCAAACGGCAAUCACGCAAACUUUUUAAUAAAACGUAAACAGGGAAACAAAAUUAAUGAAAUAAAUAUCACAGACGUUCUUAAAUUAAGAUUUUUUUUAACUCAUUUACAAUAAAAAAUAACCAAGUGAAGUUACAAAAAAAAGAGAAAAACAAAAUAUAUAACAAUAUAUAUUACUGUGAAAAGAACAUACACUCCACUUUAUGCAGAUUAAUAAUGGCGACCAUAAUUUAAACAUAAAAGAAUAUAGAUCUAUUGCUUCAUCAUACUUGAUAAAUACAGUAUGGACACAAAUUACCAAUGUAGCCUAUACGUUUUCACAAGAUAAUAAAUAAGUUAAAUAGUCCAUAGCCAGUUA